rnacentral:rRNA from 1 species
AGUGAACGCUGGCGGUAGGCCUAACACAUGCAAGUCGAACGGCGGCACAGGAGAGCUUGCUCUCUGGGUGGCGAGUGGCGGACGGGUGAGGAAUACAUCGGAAUCUACUUUUUCGUGGGGGAUAACGUAGGGAAACUUACGCUAAUACCGCAUACGACCUACGGGUGAAAGCAGGGGAUCUUCGGACCUUGCGCGAUUGAAUGAGCCGAUGUCGGAUUAGCUAGUUGGCGGGGUAAAGGCCCACCAAGGCGACGAUCCGUAGCUGGUCUGAGAGGAUGAUCAGCCACACUGGAACUGAGACACGGUCCAGACUCCUACGGGAGGCAGCAGUGGGGAAUAUGGGACAAUGGGCGCAAGCCUGAUCCAGCCAUACCGCGUGGGUGAAGAAGGCCUUCGGGUUGUAAGGCCCUUUUGUUGGGAAAGAAAUCCAGCUGGUUAAUACCCGGUUGGGAUGACGGUACCCAAAGAAUAAGCACCGGCUAACUUCGUGCCAGCCGCCGCCGUAA